AAUAACAACAAAGGUCUUUUGUUUUCCAAACUUUUUAUUAAAAAAAUAAGAGGAUGUUAAUAAUUAAAGUUUAGAUCUUCCGUACUAUGAGACAGCACCUAAUUAAUAAAAAAUGACAAGCUGAAAUGCAAUGUAAUUUAUCAGCAAAGACAAUGCGUUAUAAGUGCCCAGCACCAACGGCAUGCGCAAGUCAAGUCACCCCUUUUACCAGUUGAGGGCCUUCAGGCUUCAAAUUCAAACCAGGCCUGCCCAGCUCAAAAUGGUGCGAGGGAUCAUUAGCAUUGCAGCCCAAUGCUGUGGGAUUUCCCCCAACUACAUCCAAUCAUGAAAUAAAUUUUACAAAAUUUCAUGAACUUUAUUCCCAAUAUAAAAACUACAGGGUGAAUCAAAGGUAUGGCUCGAAUAAUUCCUUAGCAGGCUGUUUAAGGAAACACAGUCAAAUUAUUGCAUUUUGGUGGUCACCUAAGUGCAUUACCAAUUCCUAAUUAAAGAUUCUGCCCUGUAGUGAAAAACGUUUGGUGGAAGCAGAAAGGCCCCAAUUGAGGAAGUAAACCAAUUGGAUUUGCAGGCAUCAAAAUCAGUGCCAAAAAUCGAAGGACAAAUGCUUAGGAGGACUACCACAUCCAUGUGCCAAACUCUGAAAAGCACAAUAUAAUUAUCCAUCCAGUCAUCAUCCAUGGUCCUGGGCAGGCAAGGCAAGGCAGUGGCAAUAGGUCUCUUUGACGAAUUCUUGUAAUUUGGCUGGUCUUUUCAGGCAAUUAGAAUUUGAUAGGCCACUAACCUCCUCAGCAGGUCACAUCUCAUCUAUUGCACGCCUAGCUACUACAAUUAGUCAAUUAUUCAUCAAAUUCUACAGAGGUUAAGUUAUGGCAGACACUUUGAUAUGGAUCUGGCGCACAGUUGUGAAUUGGCCUCCACCUGAAUUGAGGCUUUGAUGUCAGCUGAUUUUGUUCAAACCUUGUUUAUAUUUCAGAUAUGUGUGACUCACAUGUAUCAUGCACAGCACUGUAAUAAUAAAAAUAUUCAACUGUACAAGGCGUAGCAGAGUAGUGAUACAUACGCUCAUCCUUGCAAGCAAGUUUAGAUAAAUUGCUUGACCUGAACGCCUGCCUGAUCGACAAAUUAUACACCAUCAUUAAUCGGAUAAGUCUCUCCAACACAGAAGGCAGAGAGAAACAGAAAGAGAAUUCUCUACUCAACUCUCAUGCCCAAGACCUGACAACCACUGAAUUGAAUUUAAUCAGCAAGAUAAGGUCGGAAAAUAUAUGUUAAUCAUAGCAAAAUCACAUCACUAAUCAAAAGCAGUCCACGUCGUUUAAAAAAGACAUGACCACCGUUUUUUUUCAAGUCAAAACUAAAUAAUUCAAAGUUAGAGAAAUGAAACGAGCCUUAAUCAUAUUAAUAAUUCGAUUCAAAAGGGUUUAAUGCUGAUUUCAGUCUACUUUAAUGGUGGUUUUUAUUCCGAUUUAAUUUUUGAGUGACUUAAUCCGGUUCAGUUCACGUGGCAUCUUUCCACAUCCAUCACAUUAUUUUUUUUUUAAAUAAUUCAACUUAAAAAAUUGAAUCAACAGACCCAACCAUUGAUUCCAUUUCAAAAUUAAAAAGAAGAUCAGAAUCAACUCUCCAUACAAGGUUUAGGAUCAAUUAAAGCCCUUAAACCUUUAUCUACAGCCAAAUUCAAAACCUAUUUUCGCCCCUGGUCAAUAAUUCAUGGGCCUGAACCUCGUCUAGCUCAAAAGGACCACUUGAAAUUUCAGCACCAUUUUUUUCAGUUGUCACCCAUUGGAAUGGACCACUUCCUCAUCACCCCGACCCCGCCCUACCUACACCAGACUAGAGAGACUGUUAGAGAGCAUGCAGCAAUGUCACACACAGUACUACGAACCCAUUAAUUCUCACAGGCAUGCAUUAUAUAACUUGCACAGGAAAUUAAACAGACACGCUAGCUAUAUCCUUGCGAGUAAGCAGCAACCUCUGAGCAGCAACCUCUGAGCUCUCGUCAUGAAUGCCCUAAACAACAUGGCCAUUCUGUCCAUCAUCAUCAUUCUUCAUCAAACAAAACACACCGAAUGUGUGUCACGUAAAACUCGCUCACAGUCAUGCCCACCAAAUGCGUGACUCGUACGGUCGAUGAGACACACUUCCCUGCACAUGCCCCCGUGGCCCCCACCCCCACAGUUUACCAGUAAGCAGAAACCACCAGCCACCUAAUCUCUGUCCCACUUGCCGAAUCCACGUCAUCCCCACUUUCACAUUCACUCACAUUUCCCUGUCCCUUUCAAUCUACCCUGUUCUGCCUGCACUCACUAGCUCUACUUUAUCCACAACCUCAUCACAGUAGAGAGCCACGACAAACCGACUUCAUAGGUGUUGCCCAAUCAACUUAACCCACGUGGUCUACGGCAUUAAGACCCAUUGCCCCCCUCUUCCUACCAUCGCCACGUGGAGUCAUUAUCACGCAUGGGACUAGUCACUAUGCAUGUGGACCCCGCCUACCGACUGGUACACUCCCACACUAUAAUCCGUACAGUCUCUCUCAUUGCAAAGUUUUGCAACCGAUCAAUUCCCAAUCCACCGUGUAAUUUAUCGUCGCGAGGCCACCAUAUUAGCUUCAAUAUCGAUGACGUGGCACAUGCUAAUGUGAGUGUUUUGGUUUACUGUUUGUUUUAAAGGAAUUAAUCAAGCAUUAAUAUGAGAAAAAGACGUUACAGUUGCAUAUGGAAGCAAACAAAACCCUAUUUUUCCUCUAUAUUUUCAUUUAAUUUAAUUUCAGAUACAUCAGAAAUUUUAAUAACUUCCAAAAAAAAUAGAAAAAAAAAAACUAACAUGAAUGUUAGUUGCACAUGAACAUCAAAGAUCAAACCCAAACAUCUUCCAAAAUCACCAAAUAACCCCUUAAAAAAAUAUUGAAAAAAUUUACAUAGCAAAAAGAGUGGUCCUAUUCAUAACGUUCAUAUAAAUUCUCUCGAUUUAUCCCUUCUUUAUAAUUUUUUGAGAGAUUUUUUUUUUAAUUCCUCUUUUUGAAGUUAGAAAGGUGAGGAGGAGAUUUACGGGAGAUAGAGACUCGGGGGAUCCUGAUCAGUCCACUGACUCUGGCUCCAGUAAGUUUGAUCAACGGCGUUGGGAAGAUCAAACAAACCUUGAUCUCCAGUACCCUGCCAAUCCAACGGUCCAAACCCCCCAGUUCCUGAUCCACUACUCGGCAAAGCUGAUAACUCAACGUGAACCGUCUGAUCAAUCAAUACUCCUGCCAUCUCCUGCAUCUUCAUCUCCUCCCCACUAAUACCCACCAUCUUCUGUUGCUGCUGUUGCCACUGCUGAUUCUGAUUCUGAUGGACAUGUUCAAAACACUUAAAAUUCAUUAUGUUACCGAAUCCAAUUGGCAACUGCUCGUUCGUAGAGGUAAUUAAGCUUGUGAAGCUUCCAAUCUCUGAGAAGAUCCCGCAGUCGGCUCCUUGCUCUAGCAAACCAGGCUCAAAGCUAUGUGAAAAUAGCUUAGAUUCACCAAUACCAUUCAAUACAUUAUUAGAAGCAGAGCUCGAAGAAUGCGCAGAAACUGCUUCUAAACCAUUGUUAGCCGUUGUCGUAUUUGUGGCUGUCAGACUGGAGCUUUCGCUGCUAGAAUGAGAAUUUGAUGAUCUCCGCUCUCGUUGUUGUUGUUGUUGCUGUUGCUGCUGCUGUGGUGGUGGUGCCGGCGUCGUAAUGAUAGUUGUAGUUGCUGUAUUAGUUGAGGUGGUGGCAGGGUCUGCAGUGGAGGUGGCUUGUUUGGGCUUAGACCGCUUUGUCUUGCGACAGCCCCCGCCAACGGGGACGUUGCGGAGGACGCCGCCUUUAGUCCAGUACCUGCGGCAGCUCUUGCAGAAGUGGCGUGGCUGUGAAAGGUUGUAGUUGUUGUAGUAGCAGAACUUGGUGUUGAGUGAGUCGCACCUUGGGCACUUUAAUGCUUGUUGGUUCUGGUGAUGAUGCGGCCUCAGCCUCCGGUCACCUCCUCCGCCGCUAAAUAACCGGCCUCCGCCGCCAAUUGAGUGGAUAUCUUGCAUUUCGUAGCCUCCGCCACAAGUCGUACUCGAAAGAAACACUAUAGCUUGCUAAUACGAACCAAAAUUGUUUGUUAAUAAUCCAAACAGAGUUGAAAAGGCAAGAUUGUUGUUUACAGUCCAGUUUCCCCGUUGAAAUUGCUCACAUUAACCCAUUCUCUGAAAUGGGAACUCAGAAAUCAGAGAGAGAAAUGGGAACUCAGAAAUCAGAGAGAGAAAUGGGAACUCAGAAAUCAGAGAGA
rnacentral:misc_RNA from 1 species